UUGGAGGGCAAGUCUGGUGCCAGCAGCCGCGGUAAUUCCAGCUCCAAUAGCGUAUAUUAAAGUUGUUGCAGUUAAAAAGCUCGUAGUUGAAUUUCGAGAUCAGUACGCUGGUCGUGCCUUCGGUAUGCACUGGUGUCACUGGUUUCUCCCUUCUGAAGAACCGUCAUGUCAUUAAGUUGGUGUGGCGGGGAAUCAGGACUGUUACUUCGAAAAAAUUAGAGUGUUUAAAGCAGGCUCGCGCUUGAAUACAUUAGCAUGGAAUAAUGAAAUAGGACGUUUGACCCUAUUUUGUUGGUUUCUAGGAUCGACGUAAUGAUUAAUAGGGAUAGUUGGGGGCAUUAGUAUUCAAUUGUCAGAGGUGAAAUUCUUGGAUUUAUUGAAGACUAACUACUGCGAAAGCAUUUGCCAAGGAUGUUUUCAUUAAUCAAGAACGAAAGUUAGGGGAUCGAAGACGAUCAGAUACCGUCGUAGUCUUAACCAUAAACUAUGCCGACUAGGGAUCGGAUGAUGUUAAUUUUUUAAUGACUCAUUCGGCGCCUUACGGGAAAC
rnacentral:rRNA from 1 species